AAGGGCAAUCGGACCCUUUCCGGUGAGGGAACCUUUCUCCAGACGUGAUCAAGAGAAACUUGCGAGGGGCUGACUUGAUCUAGCUUACCUUGGGUCACCGAACGGAUUUGACAUGUGACAUAAUUAUCCCAGCGAUCACUAAAACUGUAAAUCUGGAUGCAAUUAAGAGAGAAAACUCCACACAUUUAUGGAAAUUUAAGGUAAGAAGUUACUUUGUACAGAAUUAUUUUUAUUUAUUUAUUUAUUUAUUUAUUGUGUAUAUGCAGGGGCAGAGUUACCUGGCCUCCAUUGGAGGAAUUGGAAUUUGAAAUGAUAAGGGAUUAGGAGUAAAGAAAAUACAGAUUAACCUCCUGUGGUCUGAUCUACCUAUAAUAUAAUAUAUAUAAUCCCAGCACUAGGGCAGCUGAGGCAGAAGUGUCUUUAGUUCAAAACUAGACUGGGAUACAUAGCUAAUUCAAAGCUGGCCUGAGAGAUAAGGGGAACUGGAAGGAGCACACCAUUAGUUUCAGGCACACAAUACCCAAUGAUUCUAGUAUCCUCUACUGACAAAGCAAACUGACACAAAGAAAAAUACUGAAAACCCAAAUCCUUUUCCACAAAACCAGUCAGUAAGGAUAAAUUUUGGAGAUGAUAAUUAAGGAAGUAAUGAACUAGCAGGAAUUUUCUGUACUAAGUAUGUAAGAAGGAAGUUUUUUUAAAUGUCUGUGUUCCCACCAAAAAAAAAAAUUCAUUCUUUAGAACUAAUGCUAACUACACUUUGAAGUAAUUUAGAAGACAGAAUCACCAGUCUUAAUCUGUGCCUGACCACCUCUCUCUCUCGUGUGUGUGUGUACAUGUGGAGGUCAGAAUACAGCAUUUGGGAACUGCUUUUCUCCCUCCAUUAUGUGGGUCCCAGGACUGAAUCCAGAUUGUCAGGCUUGGCAGCAAGUACCUUUACCCACUGAGCCAUGUGGCUGUCUUUCUUUAACUUUUUUUCAAAAUUUAGAUUAGGAAAGGAAGCAAAUUUUCAUCUAAUACAGGACAGAAAUGGACUUAAGUAGAAAGAAUAAGACUGCUGCUAGGCAUUGUGGUAUGUUCUUAUAAUCCUAGCACGUGAAAAUUCAGGGCAGGAGAAUUAAGAGUUCUGCAGCAUCUUUGGUUACAGAGUGAUUUUGAGACCAACCUGCCUACAUGAAAAUAUCACAAGAAAGAAGGAAAAGAAGAAUAAGAUAGUUGGCAAGUGGCUUGGUGGGUUAAAGUGCUUGCCACCAAGGCAACAGCCUGAGGUCAGUCCCCAGAACCUACCUGGUGAAGGAGAGAACUGACUUUCUCAAGUUGUUCUCUGAAGUCCACACUCUCUCCCUGGCAUGCACUUCCCACCCACACACAAACACACUUCAUAAAUGUAAAAAAUGUUAAUAAAAAAUGUUUACUUGGUAGCUGCAUUAGCUUCCUGGGGCUACCGUAACAACUUCUAAUCCAGAGGGCUUAAGAAAGCAGUGGGUUGUUUUUUUACCCAUGAAAGCUAGAAAUGUAAAAUCAGCCUGUGGCAGGUUGUGCUCCCUCUGAAUGCUCCAUAAAAGAAUCCCUUUUACCUUUUCUAGCUUCUGCUGGAUCCUUAGCAUUCUUUGGUUUGUUGACAGCAUACUUCCAUUAUCUUCCUCCAUGUUCAGAUAACCUUUGUACAUGUGGGGCCCUGUGUCAAAUCUUCACCCAGGGUCUCCCACAUCUUGGACAAGCACACCACCACUUAAUGUAUUUUGUUAUGAGAACAGGCGUCAUUAAAUUUCAGGUCCACCCUACAUCUAGAAUGAUCUCAUCUUAAUGCCAUAAUUAUAUCUACAAAGACCUUAUUUCCAAGUAAGGUGAUAUUCACUAGUAUUGUGGUUAGAACAUGAACAUAUUUCUGAGGGGUACAAUUCACUGAACUAUCCUUUACUUUAUUAUCAUCUUUAUUUUCAAAUAAAUCUUUUUUUGAGGGUGGGAGGUUUUGAGACAGGGUUUUUCUGUGUAGCCCUGGCUAUCCUGGAACUCACUCUGUAGACCAGGCUGGCCUCGAACUCAGAAAUCCACCUGCUUCUGCCUCCUAAGUGCUGGGAUUAAAGGCAUGUGCCACCACUACCUGGCUAAAUAAAUCUUAUUUGCCAUUAUUGUAUGCAUUAUGGAUGUGUGUGCAUGAUGUGUGUACACGUGACAGAGAAGGACUUUGUGCCGUUGGUUUUCUCCUUCCACUUUUAUGUGGGUUCCAGGGAUUGAACAUAUUGUCCUUUUAAAAGUCACAUUUCAGGACGAAUAAGAGUAUCUAUAGCAAAACUUGACAGCCUGAGUUGGGUCCUCAGAUCCACAGUGUAGGAGAGAACUGACUCCUGUAAGUUGGCCUCUGACUCCAACACAUGUGCCAUGGUAUUGUGCUGGUAGGAGUACAUAUACAAAGGAAAUAAACUGCCAACAUAAUUAAAAUCACAUUGCAUGAGCCAAGGAUAUGGCUAAGUUGGUAAACUUCUUGGCUAGAAUGGAAGAUAAUUUCUCAAAUUUAAAAGCCAUCUAAAGGGACAUUCCUAGGUUUGAAUAAGGAAAGCAAAAUAUUAAUUAUUGAUCUAAAGCUGUGGUUCUCCACCUGUGGGUUAUGACCUCUUUAGAAGGGGUCACAUAUAAGAUAUCCCACAUAUCAGAUAUUUACAUUACAACCUGUAACAGUAGCAAAAUUAUGGUUAUGUAGCAACAAAAUAAUGUUUUGGUUGGGAGUCACCACAACAUCAGGCACUAUAUUAAAGGUCACAGCAUUAGGAAGGUUGUCAGCUAGUAGAGAUUAUGAACUCCGGAAAUCAAACAAAAGUAGUAAUGAAAACAAAUGAGGAAAAAAUGGAAGGGCACUCUCAGCAGAAGAAAUAGGCAGUAUUAAAUUCACCACCAUAUAUACAUACAUAUAAUGAAAGUAUUAGAAAGAAGAGUGAGAGGAAAUAUUUUGAAGAUACAUUGUAACGAUGUUGGAAGCCUUUGUUUCAAAGUAAACAUACAUAGGGAGCUCAGUGAACUCCAAAUAUAAGCAUUUAGUAGUGCCCACUAACUUACUGAAAAUCA
ensembl:processed_transcript